rnacentral:rRNA from 1 species
CCUACGGGCGGCAGCAGUGGGGCAUAUUGCGCAAUGGGCGAAAGCCUGACGCAGCGACGCCGCGUGAGGGAUGAAGGUCUUCGGAUCGUAAACCUCUGUCAGCAGGGAAGAACGGUCACUGUGCUAAUCAGCAGUGAAUUGACGGUACCUGCACAGGAAGCACCGGCUAACUCCGUGCCAGCAGCCGCGGUAAUACGGAGGGUGCGAGCGUUAAUCGGAAUUACUGGGCGUAAAGCGCUCGUAGGCGGUAUGUCAAGUCAAGGGUGAAAUCCCCGCGCUCACAGUGGGAACUGCCUUUGAAACUGGCAAACGUGAGUGUGUGAGAGGAUAGUGGAAUUCCAGGUGGAGGAGUGAAAUCCGUAGAUAUCUGGAGGAACAUCAGUGGCGAAGGCGACUAUCUGGCACAUAACUGACGCUGAGGAGCGAAAGCGUGGGUAGCAAACAGGAUUAGAUACCCUUGUAGUC